GGCUCGGUAGCUUAGUCGGUAAAGCACUUGUGUAGCAUAUAAGGGUCGUGAGUUAAAAUCUCACUUGAGCUG
rfam:Aedes albopictus isolate Foshan contig118478, whole genome shotgun sequence.